rnacentral:misc_RNA from 1 species
UGCGCUUUAUAAAACCUAAAAUUCAAUACUUGUUUUCAAUUUUUGAUUUUUCAAGCAAAACUCAAAAGCAAAUACUCUCUAUCCUAAAAUACUUAAUAAAAAUGUACUCUCAUUGGUUGUUAAAAACUAUUUGGAUUGCAUCCUGACCGUGAUGCAUUGACGAAACAUAAAAUUAAGUAACGGUAUCAGCGUAAAAAGGCGCAGCAACUUUUUUCGAACUUUCCAAACUGCGCCUAUAUUAUUAAUUAAUCUAAUUCUAAGCUAUUCUACUAUAACCAAAAUGUCGUCGUAUGAAUGUGAGCGAAGGGUUGCAACCGAUAAACUUCAAAUCGGCGCUACCGAUCGCAGAGUGAAGGCAAUCAGUCAUGUUGGUCACGCGGUUAAUUUGGCAAUUGAGCGGUUCGUAACAAUAGGCGAAAUAAUUGCCGAGGACAAUCUUGAUAUCAAAACGGAUAUUUUGGAAUGUUGCAGAAACGCAAGAGAUGCAGGAAAAUCAAUCGAACGCUUAUGUGAUAUUUCUGCCAUGGAUAACAUGAAUUACUCAACUUUAGAAUUACCUAUCUAUGAUGAAAACGCAAUUAUAAUCGCAGCUAAAGCACUCAUAUCCGCUGUAACUAGAAUUUUGCUUUUAGUUGAUAUUGUUGUUGUGAAACAACUCCUCACUGCAAAGAGGAAAAUUGUGAAGAGUCUACGUAGACUUGAAUCCGUUGUGAAUUUUACCGAAUUUGUACGAGCUUACUCGUUAUUCGGCAUUGAAAUGAUAGAGCUUGCAUAUCUAAUACGAAAUCAACAAAAUAAUAUCAAGGAGGAGCGGCGCCGAGCGCAAAUGUUUUCAGCUAAGCAAAUACUUGAACAUUCAAUUUCAAUUUUAUUAUCAUCAUCAAAAGCGAGUCUACUACAUUACGACUGUAUGAUAGCCAAAGAGAAUCGGGAUACUGUAUUUUGUCAAAUCAGACGUGCUAUGGACUUGAUACAUUUCGUGGUUAAAGAUUGUAUAUUCGAAACACAAUUUCUAACAUAUAACGAACCGGCUACGAAGAAUAUCGGCGGCGAAACUGUACAAUCAGCAUCGAAUUAUUUAACAUUUUUGUUGGAGAAAUUUCGCACGAAACCCCUCGAUGAACCGAAAUCGACUACUAUGUAUAUAGGCAAUAAUAAUUAUUCGAAAAUCGCCGCUUCGACUACGAUAACCGAGAAGAAAUGGAAUAAUGAAUAUAGCGGUAGUUGUAGUGGUAGUGGUAGUGGUACUGGUAGCGGUAGCGGUAAACGUCGAAAUUCGUUUGGUAGUGAAGAUGAGAAUCUUCUUAUAGGAAAUAAUUAUAAACAAUGUGGUACAAAAAUUUCACCAUUUACAGAUCGAGACUUGAUGACACCAUUUAAUAUUGAAUUAAUCGAAGAACUGAUAUAUGCUUUUGAGAAACUAUUAGAGAAAACCCAUGACUUUACCGAUUCAGCUUAUACAAGUCAUGAGAAUAGAGAACAUAUUUUAUUCCUUUGUGAUCGAUGUAAACUAGAGCUUAAAAAAUGUUUAAAUAUUUUAUAUAAAACGGAACGUAAUACAAGACAUAUUAUGGAUGAGGAGAUCGAUCGAGUUAUUGGCACAGCAAAGAAUCUAACACAACAACUUAUACUCUCGGUUGCCGAUCAAACUGCUGAUCUAUAUCAUUCACUGAAAUCGUCAGUGGAAUUAGUUAAUAAUUUUCAUUUGUUAGCGCUAAAUGAGGACCCGACCUCGUUUCAGGAGUGGUCGAAUAAAUUUCACGAUUGUUGUGAUCACAUUAUAGAUGUAUGCAAAUUGUUACAGCACAUUGCUUUUACAGAGAGCUUACAAGUACAAUCGAAAUGUUUAGCUAUUAAUCUACGUAUUUAUGGUCCACAAGUUAUAUUGGCCGUUAAAAUAUUGUCGAGAUAUCCAACCAGUGUUCCGGCGAAUGAGAAUAUGGAUGCGUUCGCUGAAAUGUGGAAAUGGCUGAUAUCGGAAAUAACAAAUGUUGCACAACAAAUCUUAGAUACCACAGGCGAACAGUGCGACAAUAAAGCAAUUAAGAAAUAUAAGCCCACUACCGCAAGGCCGCUCUCCGUUGGUCAGGAGGAACAAACCGGCAAGACGGCAACAGCUGAGACCACAAAAGAUAUGCCAGCGGAAAUCGCGCCGUUCAACGAGAAAUGGAAUGACGAAGUAAACGAUAAUAAUGACAUUAUAAAACGUGCUAAAAAUAUGUCAGCGAUGGCAUUCGCUAUGUAUCAGUUUACGAAGGGCAACGGCACUUUGCGAACCACGCAGGAUCUCUUCACGCAAGCGGAAUAUUUUGCGGAAGAAGCAAAUCGUCUAUAUAAGGUUUUGCGACAAUUUUCAUAUCAGGUACCGGCAAGCCAAAAUAAAAAGGAUCUGCUGAACAUAUUGGACCGGGUGCCCACUUUUGUGCAAACACUACAAUUCACCGUGAAAGAUCAUACGGUUGGCAAGGAUGCGACAUUUGUUAAAGUGGAUCAUGUUAUACGUGAAACAAAGAAUCUUAUGAGUGUAAUUAACAAGGUUGUAACAAAAUGUUUUGAAUGUGCGACUAAGGUAAAUACUGUUAAGUCAUAAACCAAUUGUGAAUAUGAACUUUCCUCUCAACUUAUGAUAAUAAUGCCUUAUUUUAUUUAUCAUUUUAAUGUUUUAAGAUUUUUCUUUGUUUUAUUUGUCAAGAGUUUUACGAAAACUGGUACAAUAAAGAAGGAUUUCUUUCUACGAAAGUUUGUUUUUUGGAGCUGACAUACAUUGUUUUUGAGAUACAAAUUAGACCUUAGCGGUCUCUCGGGCGGCUUGUCAUCUUCGGGCGCUUUGGGUGGUGACGAUAACAAUGCGGGCGG